CACGGAUAUAUUAAAUGCAGGUGCGCUGCUCUGUAGGCAAACCGCGAAGGAAAAAAGGGACAUUUUGGGUGGAUUUGAACGGUAUGUGGGCAGGACGUUUUUUGCAGGACCUGGCAACCCUGCGCUGUGGCCCGAGGUGCUGAAAUGCUCCGGAACAGAUCUGGAUCCACUAUGGCCAAAAUACUUUAUAGCGUGGUGGAGGGAUGACGUAUGUUGGCCAACCCGGAAGUGAGCGUCGCCCUGGUUUCCCUUGACAAAAAGCCAACGGGUUUUUCCAUUGGAUUUUGGAUUAUUGCAGAAAAAUUAGCAUCUUUGAAGCACCACCUCAAAAACUGAAAAUAAAUAAAAAUAUCUGUGCUCCAAAGAACGAAAUGUAAACUUAAAAGGCAGCUUGGAUGUUUUUAUUUUCUGCAGUUUAGACUUCUUCUAUAACCUAUUUUUGAAAGCAAAACACCAAGCUCAUUGAUUUA
ensembl:lncRNA